AUCUCUUCUUGUUCUUUGGCUAAAGAUCAAGUGUAGUAUCUGUUCUCAUCAGUUUAAUAACUGAUAUAUUCCCUAUUAAAGGACAAUAUAUUAAAUGAAUAAUUUUGAGCAAAGUGUCAGAAUUGUAGCUCGCUACAUCAACGCUACACAUUGACCUGGUAUUGCAGUACUUGUUAUUACAGUGAAGCCCCU